rnacentral:misc_RNA from 1 species
AAAUGUAUUGUAAACACCAGUGGUGUGCAUGAUUAAUUCUCUAAGCCUUCUAAAAGGCCGUUGAAAAAAAAAAAAUCAUAGCAAGAGAUUCAAUAACCUAAAUAAGCAUACAAAUGCAUCUAAAACCUCCGAGUAGAACCAAAAAAACUUAUCAAGAAAUAAUCAAAAUUUAAUUUGUAAAAACACUAGCUCGUUCGUUUAAUUGAAAAAAUUUGAAGAUUUAUUGAUGAGAAUUGAUCAGAUUAGUGAUACAAUUAAAGAGUUUGGUGCAAAUAAAUUAAAGUUCCGAGUAGAGAGAGAUACGAGCUGCUUUUUUCAGUCUUUUAGAAGCUUGUGAUUUGAUAAAAGACGACGACGUAAAACAAAUUUGUGGAGACCCAUUUGACCCCUUAAAUCUGUGAUGGUUGAACAGGUGACUGAGUACGAGACCAGUCCGACAAGUUUUUACUGGUUUUAAUACUAACUGUUUAAAAGGCUGAUUCACGGCUUUUUCAAUUUGAUCAGCCGGACCAGACUAGGUCUCAAAACAAUGGUGGAGGCACGCAUAUUUCUUUUAACAGCUUCUCUUAGGUCACUCAUUCUUACAUUACUCCACCCUGAGCACAUUUAAUCUAAGAGAUUUUAAAAUCACGCGUCACCAUUUCUGUCAAAAGUGUUUGCUGAUGGUAAAGAGUCUCAUAUUUCACGUGUUGCAGGCGGAGACAAAUGCUUCGCUAUGCAUCUCUUUAACAUAUAUCAUUCGACAGAUGAUCAAUUCUAUGAGCACCAUUCCUAUCCAUAAUAUUAGAGUCAAAUAUUAACUCAUAUGACCAACAGAGUAAUUUAAAUUAUAAUCGAAUUCGUAUCUCCCCAAAAAACCCCUGCCCUGCCUGUAUUGUUUCAUAUCAUCAGCUUAACUUUGAUUUAAUUCGAUAACUUAAUGCGUAUUAAUUUUGAAUCUCAUCCUCUUAAUUUCCUACUAAAAAAAAUAUAUAUUCCAUAUGUCUGAUCAUUAGCCCGCAAACCCAAAAAUGAAAACGGACAAUAUAUGUCAAUUAUUAUCUUCUUCUUCUUCUUCGUCCUUAUGGGUCUCUUUUAUAAUGUUGGUACGUGUCUAAAAUGGUUUGGAAGACGAGAUAGCAAAGCUAAGAUGACAAUGAAGCUACUUUAUUUCCCUUCCAGAAAGCUUUUAUGAGCCGUCCAUUCUUCCUAUUAAGAGCAAUCUAUCCGAUCUAAACACAGAACGUGGUAGACCCAAGUCACGUGACCCGUACUCCACGUGUCCAUGCCUUACAGGCCCUAGUCUUAUGUGUAAAAUUUCCUUCACCCGUGGGCUUCUUUUGCAAGGACACCGCACAAUGGAGUACGUUGUACCAUUGUCGUUUAUCACAAUAUCAUCAACGGCUGAGAUUUUAUCAUUUACCACGGUUCUUUAAUCUUCCAUAAAAACAUAAAAUGCUCUUCAGCUCUGCCCCUUAAAGUGCAGAUAUUUCCUUUCAAUUGCUAAAAUAUCCCCUGUGAAAAGUAAAAACUUUCUUCUAUGAUAAUUCCCUCCUAAAAGCCAUUUUUAUUAUCCUCACUUUCAAUAGCACUUCUCCAUGAGCAUGCUUUUAAGGAGCUCUUCAACACCAAUCUUGGACUCUUGGCUUCCCUACUACAAGGACUCCUCACCAGAGCCAGAGUUUCAGAUCCUUCAAAGAACCAAAUCAGUUUCGUUUUACUCUCAACCUGAUGAUCCAACCAAGAAAGUCACAACCCAAACUUUGCAACAAGAAGCCAAUCUCCAAAAACCCCAGAAGGGCUCACCUAUAAGACCUCCUUACAGCACUAAACAGCAAUGCAAGAAAAAUAGUGAUGAGGAAGAGAAACAAGUACAACCCGAUUCAAGAAUCCAAAGACUCUUUUCAAGUUCUGGGUUGGGAGAGGAAGUGAUGAAUGAUGAUGAUGAUGAGAAGAAGAGGUGUGGGUUGCAGACACUAGUAGUGGGUGGCGGAAUGGGGAGUGAAGGUGGUGGAGGAAUUUGUGGUGGUGGUAGUGGAGGUAGAAGAUCGGAUGGUGGAGAUGGUAAUGGUGGGUCAGAGUUUUAUGGGAAUGACAAUACUGAUGCUUAUUACCAGAAGAUGAUUUCAGCUGAUCCUGGCAAUGCACUUCUCCUUGGAAACUAUGCUAAAUUCCUGAAAGAGGUUAGAGGAGAUUUUGCUAAAGCAGAAGAGUUCUGUGGAAGAGCAAUUUUGGCAAAUCCAAGUGAUGGGAAUAUUUUGUCAAUAUAUGCUGAUCUAAUAUGGCAAAAAGAAAAGGAUGCUCAGAGAGCUGAGAGCUACUUUGAUCAAGCUGUUAAAACUGCCCCAGAGGACUGGUAUGGCAAAUCCAAGUUUGACAUGAUUUUUCCAAUUUGAAGUGGGUUUAAUUCAAUUGAUAUUCCAAAAUUAAAGAUUCAAGAACUUGUAGUACUGAAACUAAUUCAUUUCCUCCUGUUUUCUUUUCUUUUAUUAUUGUUAUUUUUAAAUAUUCCAUUCUUGCAGCUAUGUCCGAGCUUCAUAUGCUAGAUUUCUUUGGGAUGCUGAAGAAGAAAAUGAAAAAGAAUAUGAAGAUGAGCAACAAGAUAAUAUAUCUCCACCCAGUUUCUUCCAUUGCUCUCCCCACGAUCCCCCUUUAGCUGCAGCUUCCUAGUCUCCCCUAUAUAAAUUAUAAGGAGAGUACUUUUAUGCUUUUGUCUAGAAUAACUUGGUAAUAUAUUACCAUCUAAGAAUUAACUUUUUCUCUGU